CUUUGCUUUGGCUCAGACUCCCAAGUGACUCUGCCUGGGCUUAUUAAUCACUCCCUCCCCUGUCUUAAUGAAGGGAACCUUGAAGGCUGGAAGCAUACAGACAGCUCCAACGCUCCAAGAACAAUAUGCCGAGUCGAUUUUGGAAGCGUAUAUGGGAUAAAGGGCUGCUAAUUAGACAACCUCACCUGUCAAGGGGUACACAGCGGCAGGAGCCAUGCCCAUGGAAUUCUGGGAAAGCAUCA